UUGCUUGCCUAGCCGAUAAGAACGAGUCUUUUGCCUUUUACUGAAGACUCCCAUGGCUAGACACCGUGCCACACAGCAAUUUUUGGAAUGCUGAUCAACUCAGCCU